GUGGGGAAUUUUGGACAAUGGGCGCAAGCCUGAUCCAGCAAUGCCGCGUGCAGGAAGAAGGCCUUCGGGUUGUAAACUGCUUUUGUACGGAACGAAACGGUCCUGGUUAAUACCUGGGGCUAAUGACGGUACCGUAAGAAUAAGCACCGGCUAACUACGUGCCAGCAGCCGCGGUAAUACGUAGGGUGCAAGCGUUAAUCGGAAUUACUGGGCGUAAAGCGUGCGCAGGCGGUUUUGUAAGACAGACGUGAAAUCCCCGGGCUCAACCUGGGAAUGGCGUUUGUGACUGCAAAGCUGGAGUGCGGCAGAGGGGGAUGGAAUUCCGCGUGUAGCAGUGAAAUGCGUAGAUAUGCGGAGGAACACCGAUGGCGAAGGCAAUCCCCUGGGCCUGCACUGACGCUCAUGCACGAAAGCGUGGGGAGCAAACAGGAUUAGAAACCCCAGUAGUCC
rnacentral:rRNA from 1 species